rnacentral:rRNA from 1 species
UACGGAGGGAGCUAGCGUUGUUCGGAAUUACUGGGCGUAAAGCGCACGUAGGCGGCUACUCAAGUCAGAGGUGAAAGCCCGGGGCUCAACCCCGGAACUGCCUUUGAAACUAGGUAGCUAGAAUCUUGGAGAGGUCAGUGGAAUUCCGAGUGUAGAGGUGAAAUUCGUAGAUAUUGGGAAGAACACCGGUGGCGAAGGCGGCUCUCUGGACCGAUACUGACGCUGAGGCGCGAAAGCGUGGGGAGCAAACAGG